ensembl:lncRNA
AGAGUCAGCUCUACGGCUAACAGUUACUACCCAUAGAGUCAGCUCUAAUGCUAACAGUACUACCCAUAGAGUCAGCUCUAAUGCUAACAGUACUACCCAUAGAGUCAGCUCUAAGGCUAACAGUUACUACCCAUAGAGUCAGCUCUACGGCUAACAUUACUACCCAUAGAGUCAGCUCUAAAGCUAACAGUUACUACCCAUAGAGUCAGCUCUACAGCUAACAGUUACUACCCAUAGAGUCAGCUCUACAGCUAACAGUUACUACCCAUAGAGUCAGCUCUACAGCUAACAGUUACUACCCAUAGAGUCAGCUCUACAGCUAACAGUUACUACCCAUAGAGUCAGCUCUACAGCUAACAGUUACUACCCAUAGAGUCAGCUCUAAGGCUAACAGUUACUACCCAUAGAGUCAGCUCUACAGCUAACAGUUACUACCCAUAGAGUCAGCUCUACAGCUAACAGUUACUACCCAUAGAGUCAGCUCUC